UCCCUGAUAGCUCAGUUGGUAGAGAACCCGCCUGCAAUGCAGGAGACCCCGGUUUGAUUCCUGGGUGGGGAA
rfam:Ovis aries breed Texel chromosome 16, whole genome shotgun sequence.